GGGCCGGUGGUCUAGCCUGGUUAAGAUACCGCCUUGACAUGGCGGGGGUCGUUGGUUCGAAUCCGACCCGGCCCA
rfam:Candidatus Nitrocosmicus oleophilus strain MY3, complete genome.